UGUUCAAGGAGUUUUCUAUAAUCAUACCCAAUAUGCGUUUCCGAAGAAACAAUAAACGUUUUUUCAUGUGAAUUGUAUAUCAAGUAUUAUUUAUAUAAAAAUAUUAAAAUGAUGUAAUUUUAAUUUCCAUGACCAGAAACUGAGUAACUAAUUCAACUUAUAUUCUUAGGGUCAAUGAACAAAGUGUGUAGUUACAUUUAUUAUCUUAAAUUUUGAGAAUGAAUUCAAA